rnacentral:rRNA from 1 species
GCGGAACGAUUCUAGCUUGCUAGAAGGCGUCGAGCGGCGGACGGGUGAGUAAUGCUUAGGAAUCUACCGAGUAGUGGGGGAUAGCCAUUGGAAACGAUGAUUAAUACCGCAUAUAUCCUACGGGGGAAAGCAGGGGACCUUCGGGCCUUGCGCUAUUCGAUGAGCCUGAGUGAGAUUAGCUAGUUGGUGGGGUAAAGGCCUACCAAGGCGACAAUCUCUAGCUGGUCUGAGAGGAUGAUCACCCACACUGGGACUGAGACACGGCCCACACUCCUACGGGAGGCAGCAGUGGGGAAUAUUGCACAAUGGGCGAAAGCCUGAUGCAGCCAUGCCGCGUGUGUGAAAAAGGCCUUAGGGUUGUAAAGCACUUUCAGCGAGGAGGAAAGGUUAGUAGUUAAUAACUGCUAGCUGUGACGUUACUCGCAAAAAAAGCACCGGCUAAUUUCGUGCCA